UUUCUGUGUUCUUUUCUAAGUUCGAAGCAUUCAGCAAGUGGUGGCAAGGCAGAGCCAUCAGAAGAGGACACCUAAUUUCCAUGAUAAAUAUGGAAAUGCUAUAUUAGCAGGUGGAGGCAUCUUCUGUAUAUCUACAUGGACAUAUACAGCCACACAAAUUGGAAUAGAAUGGAACCUGUCCCCUGUUGGCAGAGUCACCCCAAAGGAAUGGAGAGAUCAGUAGUCAUGUCAGCUGGUACAAUAAUCAAGGAAUUGUUUCCAAACUAACUCAUAAGUGAAUGCCAAGUCAAAGAAUCAUGUACUCAUUAAACUAUGGCAGACUGAAAAACUAAUAAAGAAAUAAAGUAUUUGAAACCUUCA